rnacentral:pre_miRNA from 1 species
CAUUCUGUGCACACUACUAAGAAAAUUGAUUUCAAAGACACUUGUAUGGGGCUUUUCACGUCGGUUUACAACCGUCUUUGAAAUCGCCUUCAUAGAAAG